rnacentral:lncRNA from 1 species
GGGAAAGUUACUCCAGCUGCCAGGCCAGGCCAUUCUGGGUAAUGGAUGGCGUCUCCUUAAUGCUCUCUGGGAGACGGACCUCUCUUUAAUCUGCUGCAGUGUCAUUAAGAGAGAAAACGUUUGCUCCAUGGGGCUCCUGAUGGUCUUCAGAAACUGCAAGUUAAACACCAACCAGGAAGGGCUGCUUGGGCCUUAACCCUCCCCUUCCCGGCACAGGCCCAGGCCUCAGGCUGAUGGGGCCGCAGAUCUCCGGCCUGGACUCUCAGGAGCCCUGGGGUCUCCUUUGCGGGCUCUUCUCAGCCUGGAGAUCAGGGAACAAAAAUUGUAUUUACGCUCCUGGCGAGCAGCUGAUUUUCCUGAUCGCCCACCGGCUGCACACGGCUCCACCGCAGGCCUACACCGCAUCAGGUGCGUCGGGUGGGGAGCGACUCCUUGCCCCCGAGACUGUGAACCUCAGAGAUGAGGCCGCCUGGGGCUGGGGAACCCCCUGCCCCCCGACAAGCCGUCCUGGCCUCCCUCCGGCCUCCAGUCCCUGCUUCUCUCCCGUCACUUGCUCUUCCCGGCACCGGGUCUCCGGUGUCUCUGCCUGCCCUGUCCCCACCGCCUCCUGGCGUGCCCCCCGGGGUGAGUCCUGCCUGUGCCCGGGGCCCCUCCCCGCGCCCCUUCUCCCUGCAGGAGCCGAGCUGGGGCCUUCCCCCCACAUUCCCGAGGGCAAUGCUCACUGUGCGUGAAGAGGAGGGAGGAGACAGGCAAGAUUCGCUCGGGUCACCUGCCCUGGCCGCUGGGGGUUGGUGGGCGCAGACCCACAGUCGGCCUGGGCGCCCACAGAGGGCAGCCUGCAGGGCCAGGUGGGGGCUGCCGGCGUGGAGAACGGGGUGAAGGCAGUUCGAGGGCGGCCGGACCCUCGGUGCUGGGGUGCAGGGGGCUGAAGGCCCGGCCGCCCCGUCUUCCUGGGGCUCAGGCUGGACGCCCCCAACCACACGGGCCUGCGGCAGAGCUUCCCCGGCCCCAGACACUGCUCCUUCCCGGGGCCCGACCCCAGCUUAGCACUUCCUCCCUUCCCUUGCUCCCUGCAUCCCCACCCAGGGGCCUCUCCCCGACCUCUGUCCCUUGUCCCCACAGUCCCCACCCAGUCUAGAGCAUCAUCUUGUCUCCUCGGACAUAGCACAUCUACCUAGGGUCCUGCCCCCCUUCCAGCGCCCAGUCCACAGCUCACGUGAACAUGCCAGGCCCCCUCUCAUGCGCCUUCCAUGGCUCCCCUGCUCUGAGGAUGAAAAUCCUCCAGUUCAUGUGGUCAUGUGAACUGCCGGGCCCCCGUGGGCCUGCCUCCUGGACCCCCCCAGCCGUCUCUCCCUACUCCUGGCCACACUCUGACCCUCCGGCCCCAGCUACGUGCAGGUCUCCUCCCUCCUAGAGCAGACCUUCCAGGCCUUCCUCGCUUGACACCCGCCUCCUGCACAGCUUGGCUCAGGGGGCAGCACCACAGCUGGAUGCCCGGAGCAGCCACUGUGCUCCAGGCUAUGGACGGUGUAUGAUUAUCUCAUUUAAUACUCCAUCUACCCCGGGGAAUAUUAUUAUCCCCAUUUUACAGAAGAGAACAUUGAGGUUCGCAGACGUGAAGCUCCUGGCCGAGGUCACUAGGCUGGGAAGUGGUGGAGCUGAGAUUUGAACUCAGGUUAUUUGUGUGAUGUCAACCCUCCCCGCCCCACCCACCCCUCCCAGGUUUGGGGC